rnacentral:rRNA from 1 species
AGCAGCCGCGGUAAUUCCAGCUCCAAUAGCGUAUAUUAAAGUUGUUGCAGUUAAAAAGCUCGUAGUUGAAUUUCGGGGUCAGUAGGUCGGUCGUGCCACUGGUAUGAACUGGUUUUACUGAUUCCUCCCUCUUGAAGAACUGUAAUGCCAUUAAUUUGGUGUUGCAGGGAAUCAGGACUGUUACUUUGAAAAAAUUAGAGUGUUAAAGCAGGCUUUAGCUUGAAUACAUUAGCAUGGAAUAAUGAAAUAGGACGUUUAAUCCUAUUUUGUUGGUUUCUAGGAUUGACGUAAUGAUUAAUAGGGAUAGUUGGGGGCAUUAGUAUUCAAUUGUCAGAGGUGAAAUUCUUGGAUUUAUUGAAGACUAACUACUGCGAAAGCAUUUGCCAAGGAUGUUUUCAUUAAUCAAGAAUGAAAGUUAGGGGGUUCGAAGACGAUCAGAUACCGUCGUAGUCUUAACCAUAAACUAUGCCGACUAGGGAUCGGAUGAUGUUAAUUUUUAAUGACUCAUUCGGCGCCUUAC